CGACGAAGCGACGCCGCGUGCGGGAAGAAGGCCUUCGGGUUGUAAACCGCUGUCGGGAGUUAAGAAAUGCAAGGAUGUUAAUAGCGUUCUUGCUUGACUAAGGCUCCGGAGGAAGCCACGGCUAACUCUGUGCCAGCAGCCGCGGUAAUACAGGGGCGGCAAGCGUUGUUCGGAAUUAUUGGGCGUAAAGAGCACGUAGGCGGCUAUGUAAGUCGGUUGUGAAAGCCUUCCGCUCAACGGAAGAACAGCAUCCGAUACUGCAUGGCUUGAGUGCGGGAGGGGAGAGUGGAACUUCUGGUGGAGCGGUGAAAUGCGUAGAUAUCAGAAGGAACGCCGGCGGCGAAAGCGACUCUCUGGCCCGCAACUGACGCUGAGUGUGCGAAAGCUAGGGGAGCAAACGGGAUUAGAUACCCCGGUAGUCCUAGCCGUAAACGAU
rnacentral:rRNA from 1 species